AAAACGACUCUCGGCAACGGAUAUCUCGGCUCUCGCAUCGAUGAAGAACGUAGCGAAAUGCGAUACUUGGUGUGAAUUGCAGUAUCCCGUGAACCAUCGAGUCUUUGAACGCAAGUUGCGCCCGAAGCCUUUAGGCCGAGGGCACGCCUGCCUGGGCGUCACA
rnacentral:rRNA from 1 species